rnacentral:rRNA from 1 species
UACGUAGGCAGCGAGCGUUGUUCGGAAUUACUGGGCGGAAAGAGUGUGUAGGCGGUGCUCUAAGUUCGGUGUGAAAUCUCCUGGCUCAACUGGGAGGGUGCGCCGGAAACUGGAGUGCUUGAGCGUGGGAGAGGAAAGCGGAAUUCCUGGUGUAGCGGUGAAAUGCGUAGAUAUCAGGAGGAACACCUGUGGUGUAGACGGCUUUCUGGACCAUAGCUGACGCUGAGACACGACAGCGUGGGGAGCAAACAGG